AAAAAGAGAGAGAGAGGCAAACAUAAAUUGCUAGUUUGUGAUAACUAUGGGGAGAAAAGUAUGAGGAAAAUUAGGAUUUUGAAGAUGUGGAUGGAUGCUUACGAGAAGCAUUUGCUGUCAUCAAAAGACUGUAUGGAGAUCCAUUGCCAUUGAGAUAAUUAAAUCUUACAAAUUUCUUUUUAUCAUAUUCUUGGUGCUGUACAAGGCUUGUUGGGAAGUUUUCUUUAGCUUGCUGCUUAAUCUCUACUAGUAUACUUUGAUAGUUUGCUAUUCAUCUAGUGUCUGUAGUUGAGCAGCACCCCAAUUUUAGUUGUCACUUACUAUAAGGUUUUUUCCUGGCCAUCAAAUGAAAAAUCCCAUGAAAUAACACCAAAAAAAAAAAAGUUUAACAUGUGUUGAACAUGAAUGCCUUAACACUGGUGAAGAAAUAACCUGGCAUCAUACCAAAGCGUGCCUUUCUAAAACAAAUAUGUUGUCAAUGUGCAAUUGUUUAUGUGUAUGAGUUGCACUGGAUAAAUUGAAUGAUCUUCUCUGCCCAUGGUCAUCAUUUUUAAUUACUUGCCCACUCAGUAAUACAUAAGAAGUUUUGGUGUUGACGAUGCACAUUAAUGUUGGUCAUUCUGUCAACAUCUCAAACCAUAAAAUUUUCCAUAUGAUAAUAACUCGGCAAUUCUUGACCACAACAUUCUAUUAGCACCUUUAUAAAUAGUUGAUUUUAUUAGAUGUGAUCAAGUUCAGACAUCAGUAAGCAAUUGCGCAGGCAGUUGGUUUAUCAAGUGUGAUCAAGUUCAGACACAAGUAUGCAACCAUGCAAGUUCCAACAAAAAAAAAAUGGAGCAGAGGACACAGCAUCAUCGAGCAAAAGCAAUAC
rnacentral:misc_RNA from 1 species